rnacentral:tRNA from 6 species
GGGAGAUUAGUUCAGUGGUUAGAACCGUCAGCUCAUAACUGAUUAAACAGAGGUUCGAAUCCUCUAUCUCCUACCA